ACGAACGCUGGCGGCGUGCUUAACACAUGCCAGUCGAACGGAAAGGCCCCAGCUUGCUGGGGUACUCGAGUGGCGAACGGGUGAGUAACACGUGGGUGAUCUGCCCUGCACUCUGGGAUAAGCCUGGGAAACUGGGUCUAAUACCGGAUAGGACCGUGCUUUAGUGUGUGCGGUGGAAAGUUUUUCGGUGCAGGAUGAGCCCGCGGCCUAUCAGCUUGUUGGUGGGGUAAUGGCCUACCAAGGCGGCGACGGGUAGCCGGCCUGAGAGGGUGUACGGCCACAUUGGGACUGAGACACGGCCCAGACUCCUACGGGAGGCAGCAGUGGGGAAUAUUGCACAAUGGGCGCAAGCCUGAUGCAGCGACGCCGCGUGGGGGAUGACGGCCUUCGGGUUGUAAACCCCUUUCGGCAGGGACGAAGCUUUUGUGACGGUACCUGCAUAAGAAGCACCGGCUAACUACGUG
rnacentral:rRNA from 1 species